rnacentral:rRNA from 1 species
AAGAGACAGCAGUAGCCGCGGUAAUACAGAGGGUGCGAGCGUUAAUCGGAUUUACUGGGCGUAAAGCGUGCGUAGGCGGCUUCUUAAGUCGGAUGUGAAAUCCCUGAGCUUAACUUAGGAAUUGCAUUCGAUACUGGGAAGCUAGAGUAUGGGAGAGGAUGGUAGAAUUCCAGGUGUAGCGGUGAAAUGCGUAGAGAUCUGGAGGAAUACCGGUGGCGAAGGCGGCCCCCUGGACAAAGACUGACGCUCAGGUGCGAAAGCGUGGGGAGCAAACAGGAUUAGAUACCCCUGUAGUCCCUGUCUCUUAUAC